rnacentral:rRNA from 1 species
UGAGGAAUAUUGGACAAUGGAGGCAACUCUGAUCCAGCCAUGCCGCGUGCAGGAAGACUGCCCUAUGGGUUGUAAACUGCUUUUAUACAGGAAGAAACAGCUUUACGUGUAAAGCCUUGACGGUACUGUAAGAAUAAGGAUCGGCUAACUCCGUGCCAGCAGCCGCGGUAAUACGGAGGAUCCAAGCGUUAUCCGGAAUUAUUGGGUUUAAAGGGUCCGUAGGUGGAUAAUUAAGUCAGAGGUGAAAUCUUGCAGCUCAACUGUAAAAUUGCCUUUGAUACUGGUUAUCUUGAGUCAUUAUGAAGUAGUUAGAAUAUGUAGUGUAGCGGUGAAAUGCAUAGAUAUUACAUAGAAUACCAAUUGCGAAGGCAGAUUACUAAUAAUGUACUGACACUGAUGGACGAAAGCGUGGGUAGCGAACAGG